rnacentral:rRNA from 1 species
GCCUUAGUGACUGCGGA